rnacentral:rRNA from 1 species
AGCUCGUAGGCGGUCUGUCGCGUCGGCUGUGAAAACUCGGGGCUCAACCCCGAGCCUGCAGUCGAUACGGGCAGACUAGAGUGCUGUAGGGGAGACUGGAAUUCCUGGUGUAGCGGUGAAAUGCGCAGAUAUCAGGAGGAACACCGGUGGCGAAGGCGGGUCUCUGGGCAGUAACUGACGCUGAGGAGCGAAAGCGUGGGGAGCAAACAGGAUUAGAUACCCUGGUAGUCCACGCCGUAAACGGUGGGUGCUAGGUGUGAGCGGUAUUCCACGCCGUUCGUGCCGCAGCUAACGCAUUAAGCACCCCGCCUGGGGAGUACGGCCGCAAGGCUAAAACUCAAAGGAAUUGACGGGGGCCCGCACAAGCAGCGGAGCAUGUGGCUUAAUUCGACGCAACGCGAAGAACCUUACCAAGGCUUGACAUACACCGAAGACUCGUAGAGAUACGGGGUCCGCAAGGGCGGUGUACAGGUGGUGCAUGGUUGUCGUCAGCUCGUGUCGUGAGAUGUUGGGUUAAGUCCCGCAACGAGCGCAACCCUCGUUCUAUGUUGCCAGCGGGUCAUGCCGGGGACUCAUAGGAGACUGCCGGGGUCAACUCGGAGGAAGGUGGGGACGACGUCAAAUCAUCAUG